rnacentral:rRNA from 1 species
UACGUAGGUGGCAAGCGUUGUCCGGAAUUAUUGGGCGUAAAGAGCAUGUAGGUGGGCUGUUAAGUCUGUUGUGAAAAUGCGGGGCUCAACCCCGUAUUGCGAUGGAAACUGGCGGUCUUGAGUGCAGGAGAGGAAAGGGGAAUUCCCAGUGUAGCGGUGAAAUGCGUAGAUAUUGGGAGGAACACCAGUGGCGAAGGCGCCUUUCUGGACUGUGUCUGACACUGAGAUGCGAAAGCUAGGGGAGCGAACGGG